rnacentral:rRNA from 1 species
UGCCAGCUGCCGCGGUAGUACGGAGGGUGCAAGCGUUGUUCGGAAUUACUGGGCGUAAAGCGCGCGUAGGCGGCUUUUUAAGUCAGAUGUGAAAGUCCACGGCUCAACCGUGGAAGUGCAUUUGAAACUGGUAAGCUUGAGUAUCAGAGGGGAUGGUGGAAUUCCCGGUGUAGAGGUGAAAUUCGUAGAUAUCGGGAGGAAUACCGAUGGCGAAGGCAGCCAUCUGGCCUAAUACUGACGCUGAGGUACGAAAGCAUGGGGAGCAAACAGGAUUAGAUA